UACGAAGGGUGCUAGCGUUGCUCGGAAUCACUGGGCGUAAAGCGCACGUAGGCGGAUCUUUAAGUCAGGGGUGAAAUCCCGAGGCUCAACCUCGGAACUGCCCUUGAUACUGGGGAUCUCGAGUCCGGAAGAGGUUGGUGGAACUCCGAGUGUAGAGGUGAAAUUCGUAGAUAUUCGGAAGAACACCAGUGGCGAAGGCGGCCAACUGGUCCGGCACUGACGCUGAGGUGCGAAAGCGUGGGGAGCAAACGGG
rnacentral:rRNA from 1 species